rnacentral:snRNA from 1 species
UUUUACGGGGAUAAGACUGAA